UACAAAAAGCACAAGAAACAACAAUACGCUCGGGCAUUAUUAUAUAUGAGCACCGAAUGAACCAGUCAGGCGGUGCCCAUUGUCGUGGCCGGAAAGCUUUGACUUACCGGCGCCGGAAUUACGAACCUCCGCAGAGUCCAUUUCUUCACUGGAAGUUUGACAACGAAAAAACAACCGGCGGAGUCGUCCAGGCCUCGGCUCGGAAGCUCGCCGCGGGGCUGUGGCAAUUACGCUUUAGCGAAAUCUCAUGGGGUCGGAAGAUCAAAUUCAAUUCUUGCCCUUCUGAUCCUUCUCCUCCUCAGCCUCAGAUUGAAUCGUCUUUGGCAACUACCAAAUGUGCAUCGGAGAAGGCAACAAAGUGGGAUCGUGGCUGCUCAGGAGAAUCUGAUGACAUCUAUCAGUUUUACAGCCAUAUGAAACUUCUCGAAGAUUGUCAAGUUACUACUAGUUCUAUGGCAUCGGCUUUGAAUGCAGAACUAGCAGAGGCUAGAUUAUGCAUUCGUGAGCUGCAAGCUAAGCGAAAGUCCUUUAAGAUGAAAGUCAAACACUUUUUGAGGAAGCUUGAAGAGGAAAGAAUCUCUUGGCAAACCAGAGCUCACUGGAACAAUCAUGCUAUUAAAGACCUGAAGGAAGAAUUAGGAAGGGAAAGGAAACAUCGUCAGCAGAUGGAAAAUGUUAACACCAAUCUGAUAAAUCAGUUAGCUGGUGUCAAAGUGUCUGUAGAGCAGUUCAUGAAAAAAUAUGAGGAAGAGAAGAAAAACAGAAAAUUCAUGGAAGAAGUUUCUGGUGAACUAGCUGCACAAAUUGGAGAAGACAAGGCCGAAGCCGAGGCAUUGAAGAGAGAAUCAAUUAGAAUUCUUGAAGAAGCGGAGGAAGAGAGGAAAAUGUUUCAUCUAGCAGCAGUUUGGCGUGAAGAGCGGGUCCAGAUGAAGCUGAUCGAUGCAAAACUAGCUCUUGAAGAUAAAUAUUGUCAGCUGAACAAGCUGAUAACAGAUGUCGAAACUUUCUUAAGGUCAAAGUUUGGAACCCUGGAUAUGGCGGAGUUGAGAAAAGCUGAGUUGAUCCUACAGGAAGUUAAGUCAUUGAAUGUUACUGACACUGGGGAAUUUUCUUACCUUCCUCCAAACUCAGAUGAAAUAUACUCUGAUUGCAAAGAUCUCCAACAAUGUGAAGGAAAUGAUAGGGAGAUUGAACCAUACGUUUGUCGCAGUCCAUCUAGCCAUAAUUCCACAGUCCAUCCCAUGAAUCCGGAGGAUAAUGGGUUCAACAAAACUUCUUUUCCAAUGCAGUUGAAUUGCUUUAGUGAUUAUGAUAGUUGUUAUGGAGAUGCGGGUUUGGAUAACAUGAGUCAUGCCGAGGAUCAUCAGGGUUCUUGUGAUUCAUUGGUAGCACGCAAUACCAACGUUAACAAAGUUGGCCAGGCCAAAAAUGUAUCGAGGAGAAGUGAACAUAACACCAAUGUUGGUCAAUAUUCUCCAGAUAGGGAAAUCAGUGAGGUGUGCUCACCAUCGGAGAAGCAAUCAAAGCAAGAGGCAUCUCCUACAUCUAAGAUAUCAUGUCCAAGCAAUGGUGAGUUUCAUAAGAUAGUUUUGGAUGAGGGUGAAAGGAGGCUUUCGAAUGGGAUUACUUCACGUCAGGGAACCAAGGCAUAUCGAGGUUUGUUUCAACAACGAGUUGAACAAUGGAUCCCAACAGACAUAGCGAAUCCACACAUAACUCGAGGAAUGAGAGGAUCCAUUGAAUGGCCGCGAACCAUCCAAACGAAUUGUUCAAAGGCCAAGCUUUUGGAAGCAAAAAUAGAAAGCCAGAAAUCUCAGUUGCGCCAUGUUCUUAAACAGAAGAUUAGGUGAAUUCGGUGUUCGGUGCUCGAAAUUUUGUUCAAGUUCCAUUCGAACUAUGAUGUGGCUGAUGCACUGCAUAUUCCUCCACUUUAAGACAUGACAGGAGUAGUCCAUUGGAUGAUUGAGUAUCCUGAUCCUGGUUUGCAGACAUGGUCCAUUGAGGUGUUAGACCCUUGGAAUGAUAGUUCGUACAAGAGGGCGUUGGCCGCGGUUGACGACAAUUCUGAUAGGGGCAAAUUAUUCCGGUAGGAAAAUCCUGAAUCGUACGAUUUGACAAGGCAGUUUGUAGAGGAACGCAAACCGUGAACUUUAAAUGCUUGGAAAUUGAGGCAGGCGCAUCCACAUAUUAUUCCAGCUAGAGUUCUCCAGCAUCAAACAUGUUUAUGCCCUCCUAUGUAUUCAGUCCGGUGGAGGUAAUUACCAUAUUCUAAUUUGAGCCUCCAUGCAGGUGAGUGUGGAGACGGAUGCAAGGAGAGACGUUCCUGGCUUUAGAGACAACAAAUACCAUGUCCACCGUGCUAUUCGUCUUGGAGCUUUUGUCAAGCUUAUUCAGCUUCGUCUCGAGGUUAUAGGAAUCACGGAUCCUGUCUUUGUGUAUUCCAAGAACACCGCUAAACCUCCCAAUGAGAUCUUGAUGUCUGCAAUUGACAAGGAUGAGGAAAAUAAGGAUGAAGAUGGAUUUCUUCACUUGAUAUACACUAAUGAAGAGGAAGGAGUACCAAUUCCAGCGAAGAAAGCUGCCACAAGGCACAAAAGUCCUUGCAGAUUCAAGAGGAGGAAGAAAAUCGGAAUGAUCCAGUUUUCAACUCCCAUUGGUCUGUUAGACUCCUGGAACCUGAUCAAUACAGGCAUAGCUGUUUUUUCAUCUAUGCGUUUGAUUUAUGCUCAGUGGUUGUUUGGAGGCGGACAAACCACCUAGACGUAGUUUAGAUGCUUGGAAAUUGAGGGAGAAGCAACCUGACCAUAUACCAGUAAGUGUUUCACUGCAUUAAAUUUGCGUAUUUCCUCCUAUAUUUGGUGGACGCAAUACCGUGCUCUAUUUUGAGCCUCCGUGCAGGUAAGCGUGGAGAAGGACGCAGGUAGUGACAUUCCUGACAUUGACAUGAAGAAGUUAGUUUCCAAUUCGAUUACGCUUGGGUAUCUUGAUUUGUAUUGCAAGAAUGGAAUAGGAUUUGACCCCCUUAUUUAGAUACAAUGUCCAUCGUGAUAUGCCGCUGAGAGAAUUUGUUGACUUUAGAAUAUCGGUUAAGGAUUGGGUAUGAAUCUCCAUGGAAAAAGCCUAUGUUCGUCUACUUCAAGAACACCGAGCCUCCCAUUGAUACUACCUUGAUGCCUGCAGUUGAUGAGAAAAACAGGGACGAAGACGGUUUUGUUCACAUCACCUACAGUGGAAAAGAGAAAGGAGGCUGGACCCACUGAAGAGCUCUGGCCGUUGCAGAUGCUUGUUGAAUGAUCAUUUAAACAUGUCCAACUAAAGACGAAGCACUUUUUUAGAGGUUGCCCAGAUGCUAUCUUCUAUAUCUAUCGGGGAGGACUGCAUUCCGGCUGGCCUUGUCCCAAAAUCAAUCUGUUUACGCAUCAAUUCUUCGAGCUGGGAUCGCAGCUUGUCGUCCCUCAGUUGUUUUUCUUGUCUCGAGAAUUUUUUUUCAGACUGUUCCCUUAAUUUGGUUUUACGUAGCUUUAUGCUUCUAGACUAAAAAUAUGUUAGUUGGUUAUAAAUCGAUUUCAAAUGUUGAAACAGUAGGGUUUAUAUUGAAGAUGGUGAGUAAUUACAUAAAGAUGAAAUACACUUUCUACUUUUUCUUUA